GAUUAAGUUAUUAAGGGCGCACGGUGGAUGCCUUGGCACUAGAAGCCGAUGAAGGACGUUACUAACGACGAUAUGCUUUGGGGAGCUGUAAGUAAGCUUUGAUCCAGAGAUUUCCGAAUGGGGAAACCCAGCAUGAGUUAUGUCAUGUUAUCGAUAUGUGAAUACAUAGCAUAUCAGAAGGCACACCCGGAGAACUGAAACAUCUUAGUACCCGGAGGAAGAGAAAGAAAAUUCGAUUCCCUUAGUAGCGGCGAGCGAAACGGGAAGAGCCCAAACCAACAAGCUUGCUUGUUGGGGUUGUAGGACACUCUAUACGGAGUUACAAAGGACGACAUUAGACGAAUCAUCUGGAAAGAUGAAUCAAAGAAGGUAAUAAUCCUGUAGUCGAAAAUGUUGUCUCUCUUGAGUGGAUCCUGAGUACGACGGAGCACGUGAAAUUCCGUCGGAAUCUGGGAGGACCAUCUCCUAAGGCUAAAUACUCUCUAGUGACCGAUAGUGAACCAGUACCGUGAGGGAAAGGUGAAAAGCACCCCGGAAGGGGAGUGAAAUAGAACCUGAAACCGUGUGCUUACAAGUAGUCAGAGCCCGUUAAUGGGUGAUGGCGUGCCUUUUGUAGAAUGAACCGGCGAGUUACGAUUUGAUGCAAGGUUAAGCAGUAAAUGUGGAGCCGUAGCGAAAGCGAGUCUGAAUAGGGCGUUUAGUAUUUGGUCGUAGACCCGAAACCAGGUGAUCUACCCUUGGUCAGGUUGAAGUUCAGGUAACACUGAAUGGAGGACCGAACCGACUUACGUUGAAAAGUGAGCGGAUGAACUGAGGGUAGCGGAGAAAUUCCAAUCGAACCUGGAGAUAGCUGGUUCUCUCCGAAAUAGCUUUAGGGCUAGCCUCAAGUGAUGAUUAUUGGAGGUAGAGCACUGUUUGGACGAGGGGCCCCUCUCGGGUUACCGAAUUCAGACAAACUCCGAAUGCCAAUUAAUUUAACUUGGGAGUCAGAACAUGGGUGAUAAGGUCCGUGUUCGAAAGGGAAACAGCCCAGACCACCAGCUAAGGUCCCAAAAUAUAUGU
rnacentral:rRNA from 1 species